rnacentral:tRNA from 1 species
CGAUUAGCUCAGUUGGUUAGAGCACCUGCCUUACAAGCAGGGGGUCAUAGGUUCGAGUCCUAUAUCGUCC